ensembl:lncRNA
GAAAAGAGGGGACAUUAUGAAAGGAGAGAGGUAAAAGAGAGUAUGGAGAAAAGAGGGGACAUUAUGAAAGGAGAGAGGUAAAGAGAGUAUGGAGAAAAGAGGGGACAUUAUGAAAGGAGAGAGGUAAAAGAGGAUAUGGAGAAAAGAGGGGACAUUAUGAAAGGAGAGAGGUAAAAGAGGAUAUGGAGAAAAGAGGGGACAUUAUGAAAGGAGAGAGGUAAAAGAGGAUAUGGAGAAAAGAGGGGACAUUAUGAAAGGAGAGAGGUAAAGAGAGUAUGGAGAAAAGAGGGGACAUUAUGAAAGGAGAGAG